rnacentral:rRNA from 1 species
UACGUAGGGGCUAGCGUUGUCCGGAUUUAUUGGGCGUAAAGAGCGUGUAGGCGGCCAGGUAGGUCUGCUGUGAAAACUCGAGGCUUAACCUCGAGAUGUCGGCGGAAACCAUCUGGCUAGAGUCCGGAAGAGGAGAGUGGAAUUCCUGGUGUAGCGGUGAAAUGCGCAGAUAUCAGGAAGAACACCCGUGGCGAAGGCGGCUCUCUGGGACGGUACUGACGCUGAGACGCGAAAGCGUGGGGAGCGAACAGG